rnacentral:lncRNA from 1 species
AUGAAGAGAGAUACUGGCAGAGGAGAGCAUGAAACUGUUCAACGUAGGCAGAACAGACUGGAUGCAGCUGAAAAAAUUUGGAUUAUGACUCAUAUCUACAAAUCUUGGCUGGCAUCUUGCAGAGGACAUGGUAAUCUCUGUGCUGCUGAAACAUGCAAUCUUUUGAGAAGUUUGCACCCCUCACAAUCAGGAGUGCAGCAGUUAGUUCUUCUGUGCACUGCUUAUUUCCAGUGGAUCAUGGAUAUGACUGUCCAUGGCUUCCUCAAGGUGUUGGGACUUGGGAGGGAAAGUCUUGUAAUGAAAGAACAGCUGUCACAGAAAAUCUCACCAUCAGUUCAAGCCAAACAAACUUUCACUUGCAUUGGAAGAUACAUCACUGAAGAACAGGAGCUAGAAGGAUCCUGCAUGGAAGAGGAGAAGAAGGUUACAAGUGAAGAAAAUUUGCUUUUUUUAAAAAAAAGAAGACUAAGGAAAACAAUUCAAGAAGAGUUGGACUCAACUUUUAAGAAAUUGUAAACUGAAUGCAAGGUGAACGAGGUGUCUGGCUUUGCCUCCUGGCGUCUCCUCCUGGCUGUCUUCUGGAGCAGGCUUCGAAUGGAGCUGGAAUUCCUUUAUGCUUCCAUUAUACACCGAUGAACCUGCUGGUGAGUUUGAUCUGAGCGCUGCGCUUGUGCCCUGUUUUCUGUCUUUAAAGGCUGUGUGGUUGUAGCAGCUUGCCAUUGUUAAUGGACAAUAGAAUGGCACACAGAAUGAUAACAGAGGGAACUGCCAACUUGAUGUGUAGAUCCAUUGUCCUCCAGUAACGCUGGCAAUUAGAGGGCCAUCUGCUUGGCUCUGAAGACAAACAAAAGAGGAAACUGAAAAUACACGAGAUGGCCCUCUGAGGGUUAAUGAAAACCAAAAGGACUUCUGGUCUUUGCCUGGCCCUGAAGGGAACCGGGUGGAACAUUCAGGCUUCCUCUAUGGAGACCUCGUUUUAACUUGUCAUUUAAGCUUUUUAUUCCACUAAGGGCUAAUUGGGACAGCGGGGGCUGUUAAAGGAAACGAUGUAAAACUUGAUCUCGGUACGCUUCCCCAGAGCAUCAUCACAGUAAAUGAGAGGCUUGCCUGUGGAGAUGGAUGCUGACAGCAGUGAUUUCCCCGGUAGAGCUCCUGGGGAAUACUGCGUCUCAUUCCCUCCCCAGGUGACAGAAAUACUGGGAUUACUUCCCAGCCGUCCUCUGGGUCUGGGUGUACUGGGUAGGGGGAGGCUGUGAGAGGAGGGAGCAGUGAGGGGAGGGGAAGGGACAAAAACCUUGCAGGAAGAAAAGGCUGCGGCAGCACCUGAAGAGGCUUCGGUGGGAAAAGACCGUGGAAGCUGUUUAAGAGGGAUGGGUCACCGCACCUCCUCCCUUAGGCAGAGGCUCGGCAUCCUCUGACGGUGGGAAAGACCUAAGGAUGAUCCCGCAUCCUCUGAGCUGGAGAAAGAGGCAGGGAAGCCCCGCUUUCCCCCUUUCCUGCGGGGCGGGGGGGGAUG